CUCUAUGCGGUGGAUCACUC
rnacentral:rRNA from 1 species